UGCAGCAAAAAAGCCUAGAACCUGGGUCCUAGAUUAUAUCUAGACUAUGCGGCAGGUGGCAAGAGUGAUCGUGUUCCUGGUCCUGGGUUCUCUGAGCCUUGCUAAGACCACCCAGCCCAUCGCCAUGGAAUCAUAUGAAGGACAAGAAGUGAACAUACCCUGUAGCCACACAGACAUUGCUACAAGUGAGACUAUCUUCUGGUACCAACAGUUCCCCAACCAGGGACCACGAUUUAUUAUUCAAGGAUAUAAGACAAAUGUGACAAAUGAAGUGGCAUCUCUGUUUAUCCCUGCUGACAGAAAGUCGAGCACCCUGAGCCUGUCCCGGGCUGCCCUGAGUGACAGUGCUGUGUACUACUGCAUCCUGGAUGACACACAGAAUCUCGAUGUUAAUCACUUUGGAAGAAAGAAAGUAAAAGCCAUUGAGGAUGGUGGAAGAGGCACUGGGUUUUUACUCCCUACUGAUCUUGAGGGUUCAGUUGAACUUGGAGGGGAGCCCCACUCUGAGCAGCUGCUGCCCUGCUAUUGGCUGCUCCCCUGGGGACAGUCCCAGCUGAGAGCUGCUGGUGUGGGCUCUGGCAAUUGCUGCUGGGCUCUUCCCAGCUCAGAUGUGGAAAAGAGCCUAGGACCUGCGUCCUAG